GACAGCGGAGGGACAUUACCGAGUUUAAACUCCCAAACCCAAUGUGAACCAUACCAAACUGUUGCCUCGGCGGGGUCACGCCCCGGGUGCGUCGCAGCCCCGGAACCAGGCGCCCGCCGGAGGGACCAACCAAACUCUUUUCUGUAGUCCCCUCGCGGACGUUAUUUCUUACAGCUCUGAGCAAAAAUUCAAAAUGAAUCAAAACUUUCAACAACGGAUCUCUUGGUUCUGGCAUCGAUGAAGAACGCAGCGAAAUGCGAUAAGUAAUGUGAAUUGCAGAAUUCAGUGAAUCAUCGAAUCUUUGAACGCACAUUGCGCCCGCCAGUAUUCUGGCGGGCAUGCCUGUCCGAGCGUCAUUUCAACCCUCGAACCCCUCCGGGGGGUCGGCGUUGGGGACCUCGGGAGCCCCUAAGACGGGAUCCCGGCCCCGAAAUACAGUGGCGGUCUCGCCGCAGCCUCUCCUGCGCAGUAGUUUGCACAACUCGCACCGGGAGCGCGGCGCGUCCACGUCCGUAAAACACCCAACUUUCUGAAAUGUUGACCUCGGAUCAGGUAGGAAUACCCGCUGAACUUAAGCAUAUCAAUAA
rnacentral:rRNA from 1 species